rnacentral:rRNA from 1 species
CGUGCAGGAAGAAGGCCUUCGGGUUGUAAACUGCUUCUGUCAGGAAAGAAAUCCUCUGGGUUAAUACCUCGGGGGGAUGACGGUACCUGAAGAAUAAGCACCGGCUAACUACGUGCCAGCAGCCGCGGUAAUACGUAGGGUGCGAGCGUUAAUCGGAAUUACUGGGCGUAAAGCGUGCGCAGGCGGUUAUGCAAGACAGAGGUGAAAUCCCCGGGCUCAACCUGGGAACUGCCUUUGUGACUGCAUAGCUAGAGUACGGUACAGGGGGAUGGAAUUCCGCGUGUAGCAGUGAAAUGCGUAGAUAUGCGGAGGAACACCGAUGGCGAAGGCAAUCCCCUGGACCUGUACUGACGCUCAUGCACGAAAGCGUGGGGAGCAAACAGGAUUAGAUACCCUGGUAGUCCACGCCCUAAACGAUGUCAACUGGUUGUUGGACGGCUUGCUGUUCAGUAACGAUGCUAACGCGUGAAGUUGACCGCCUGGGGAGUACGGACGCAAGGUUGAACCUCACAGGACUUGACGGGGACCCGUACAAGCGGUGGCUGAUGUGGCUUAAUUCGAUGCAACGCGAAGGUCCUUACCUACCCUGACCUGCUUGGAGUCUUGCCGAGAUGUGCGAGUGCUC